UGUGAACCUCACUCACAUCUCAUGCAACACUGAAUAUGAAGAGCUUCGUAGCCUGGGACAUUCAUCCAAUUGAUAUUGUUGUUUAUUAUUAUCCAGGCUAUUAGAACCAAGUGGACAGAAUGGGUUAUUGUUGGUUAUUAUUAUCCAGGCUAAUAGAACCAAGUGGACAGAAUGGGUUAUUGUUGUUUAUUAUUAUCCAGGCUAAUAGAACCAAGUGGACAGAAUGGGUUAUUGUUGGUUAUUAUUAUCCAGGCUAUUAGAACCAAGUGGGCAGAAUGGGUUAUUGUUGUUUAUUAUUAUCCAGGCUAAUAGAACCAAGUGGACAGAAUGGGUUAUUGUUGUUUAUUAUUAUCCAGGCUAUUAGAACCAAGUGGACAGAAUGGGUUAUUGUUGGUUAUUAUUAUCCAGGCUAUUACAACCAAGUGGACAGAAUGGGUUAUUGUUGGUUAUUAUUAUCCAGGCUAUUAGAACCAAGUGGGCAGAAUGGGUUAUUGUUGGUUAUUAUUAUCCAGGCUAAUAGAACCAAGUGGACA
rnacentral:lncRNA from 1 species